rnacentral:rRNA from 1 species
UUUUAAUGAGAGUUUGAUCCUGGCUCAGGACGAACGCUGGCGGCGUGCCUAAUACAUGCAAGUAGAACGCUGAAGGAGGAGCUUGCUUCUCCGGAUGAGUUGCGAACGGGUGAGUAACGCGUAGGUAACCUGCCUGGUAGCGGGGGAUAACUAUUGGAAACGAUAGCUAAUACCGCAUAAGAGUAGAUGUUGCAUGACAUUUGCUUAAAAGGUGCAAUUGCAUCACUACCAGAUGGACCUGCGUUGUAUUAGC